rnacentral:rRNA from 1 species
GAUGGACGCUGGCGGCGUGCCUAAUACAUGCAAGUCGAGCGAACGGACGAGAAGCUUGCUUCUCUGAUGUUAGCGGCGGACGGGUGAGUAACACGUGGAUAACCUACCUAUAAGACUGGGAUAACUUCGGGAAACCGUAGCUAAUACCGGAUAAUAUUUUGAACCGCAUGGUUCAAAAGUGAAAGACGGUCUUGCUGUCACUUAUAGAUGGAUCCGCGCUGCAUUAUCUAGUUGGUAAGGUAACGGCUUACCAAGGCAACGAUGCAUAGCCGACCUGAGAGGGUGAUCGGCCACACUGGAACUGAGACACGGUCCAGACUCCUACGGGAGGCAGCAGUAGGGAAUCUUCCGCAAUGGGCGAAAGCCUGACGGAGCAACGCCGCGUGAGUGAUGAAGGUCUUCGGAUCGUAAAACUCUGUUAUUAGGGAAGAACAUAUGUGUAAGUAACUGUGCACAUCUUGACGGUACCUAAUCAGAAAGCCACGGCUAACUACGUG